UACGUAGGGGGCGAGCGUUGUCCGGAUUUAUUGGGCGUAAAGAGCGUGUAGGCGGCCAGGUAGGUCCGUUGUGAAAACUCGAGGCUCAACCUCGAGACGUCGAUGGAAACCAUCUGGCUAGAGUCCGGAAGAGGAGAGUGGAAUUCCCGGUGUAGCGGUGAAAUGCGCAGAUAUCGGGAGGAACACCAAUGGCGAAGGCAGCUCGCUGGGACGGUACUGACGCUGAGGAGCGAAAGCGUGGGUAGCAAACAGG
rnacentral:rRNA from 1 species